AAGCAGGAUUCAGACUACAGUAUAGCUGUUGAGUGCUGUGUUGUCAUUCCCUCUGCUCAAAAUAAGGUUGUUUCUCAACUGUGUCUACCAUAUCCCUUUAACAGCCAGGGACACAUGGUGUCAUAAAG